rnacentral:rRNA from 1 species
AUGUCCCAACUCGACAGAGCCGGUGAUCAUUCAUCAAUGGCGUCGGGCACCAUUGUGGUCCAAACCAACUCUCCACGGGAGAUGGAUGCCCGGCUGCUAGCGCUGGUCUGCUCAGGCAGUUUCCAGGAUCUAACAUCAUUCCUCGACGGACAAGACCACCAAGCAUCUUCCGCCGUCGGAGGCUCGGCGACAAGGCGGCCUUCCGGUGACGACGAGGAAGCAUUUCUCAGAGAGUCGCUCCUGGACGGGAUCACCGUCGGAGGCGACACUGUUCUCCAUGUGGUCGCCACCAAUGGUGAUUCUGAGGAAUUCCUGAAGAAAGCUGGCCUCGUCCACAGGAAGGCGCAGAACCUCCUCUGUGCGCAGAACAAUGACGGAGAUACGCCGCUGCAUUGUGCUGCGCGGGAGGGGAACUUCGCCAUGGUGUCUCUUCUCAUUGAUCUUGCUAGAAGAGGCGAUGAUGCCAAUGCUAACGGAGUGAAGGCACUGCUGAGAACAGAAAACAAGAUCAAAUGGACAGCCUUGCAUGAGGCUAUCAAGUCUGUCCUCUCUGGGCACGAUGAUAUGGUCGAGUUGCUCAUGAAGAAGGACCCGCAGUUGGCCAGUUUCCCGAAAGAUGGCACAUCGCCAUUGUACCUGGCCAUCUUGGAGGGGAAGAGUUUCAUCGCGGAAACACUCUAUGAGUUGAGCGGCGGGGUGCUCUCAUACUCUGGACCAAAUGGACAAAAUGUACUGCACGCUACUGUUCUCCGAGGCGAAGAUCCUAAAAAGAUGUUGGAAUGGAACAACGUCCUUGCAUCGCAACGGGAUAAUAACGGACGUACACCGCUCCACUUUGCCGCCACAGCUGUUCUAGGGAAUCAGAAAAUACUUUCACAAGUACUGAAAACCAAUGCAGAGGCAUUGUAUCAGCCAGACCACAAUGGAUCAUUCCCCAUACACAUGGCUGCAUCUGUCGGUGCAACAAGUGUAGUCAGUGAAUUUAUUGAAAAUACGCCCAAUUGUGCUGGUUUACGUGAUACUAGGAAAAUGACAUUUCUUCAUGUUGCAGUUGAUAAUAAGAAAAUAUCGACAGUUAGUUAUGCUUGCAAGAACGGAACAUUAUCAUGGAUUUUUAAUAUGCAAGACAAGAAUGGGAACACUGCAGUACACCUAGCUGUCCAGGCUGGCAGUGUUAAAAUAUUUUGUUGUCUGUUCAGGAAUAGACAAGUACAAUUGAAUUUGACAAAUAAGAAAGGGGAGACUCCACUAGAUAUAGCGUAUCAAAAUAUUCCUAAAGGGCUGCAUGCUUACAUGGUAAUCACUGCACAGUGA